GUAGCCUUUGAGAGUGAAACGCUUGGGUCUACAUAGAGAAACCAUUGUUCAAUUAGAUAACAAAGACUGGCCACCCUGAUUAAUCAAUUGAAAAUAAGGCCACAAACGGAACAGGAAACGCCGAGUCAUUUUUCGUACCGUGGAAAUCCGCUCAGCAGCAACACGGAUCGCACUUUUUUCCCCCGACUAAAAGAAGCCUCUAAGGGGGUGCGGAACCAGAAAAAAGCCGUGAAAAAUGGUUCGUGUCAAGAACGUGAGCAUACGGCAGAUAUUAAUUAGCCUCUUAGAUUUCAAGAACUCUCUCUCUCUGUGAACGCGGACAGAUGAAAAAAAAACGAGUGCAUUUCUUUCAUUCUACGUAUGUACGUAACUACAUGUAGUGUAUGUACGUAUGUAGACAACCGGGUGGGAUUGUGGUGGUGUUGGCUGGCUCUUCAUUAAAAGCGAGUAAGAUGGAUGGAUGGAUGGAUGGAUGGACGAAUGGAAAAAUGUGUUCUCACCUAGUUCAGUGCAGAUAUCGAUGACAGCGUUGAAGGUCCGGAUAGAGAAAUCCACAUUGCAAUCGAUGUAUCGCAGAUCCGGCAAUUGAAUUCGAACCAUUUUGUGCAUGGGUGUGAAAUGAAUGAUGGCAUCUGCCGUCAAAUUAUACUGGUCCAAAGUGAGCCGAG